UACGGGGGGAGCAAGCGUUGUUCGGAUUUACUGGGCGUAAAGGGCGCGUAGGCGGCGUGACAAGUCACUUGUGAAAUCUCCGGGCUUAACUCGGAACGGUCAAGUGAUACUGUCGUGCUAGAGUACAGAAGGGGCAACUGGAAUUCUCGGUGUAGCGGUGAAAUGCGUAGAUAUCGAGAGGAACACCUGCGGCGAAGGCGGGUUGCUGGGCUGAUACUGACGCUGAGGCACGAAAGCUAGGGGAGCAAACAGG
rnacentral:rRNA from 1 species